rnacentral:rRNA from 1 species
UACGUAGGGUGCAAGCGUUAAUCGGAAUUACUGGGCGUAAAGCGUGCGCAGGCGGUUCUAUAAGACAGAUGUGAAAUCCCCGGGCUCAACCUGGGAACUGCAUCCAAAACUGGCAAGCUAGAGUAGGGCAGAGGGUGGUGGAAUUUCCUGUGUAGCGGUGAAAUGCGUAGAUAUAGGAAGGAACACCAGUGGCGAAGGCGACCACCUGGGCUCAUACUGACACUGAGGUGCGAAAGCGUGGGGAGCAAACAGG